rnacentral:rRNA from 1 species
AUACGUAGGGAGCGAGCGUUGUCCGGAUUUACUGGGUGUAAAGGGUGCGUAGGCGGCUGAACAAGUCAGGUGUGAAAACCAUCGGCUCAACUGAUGGAUUGCACUUGAAACUGUGCAGCUUGAGUGAAGCAGAGGCAGGCGGAAUUCCCGGUGUAGCGGUGAAAUGCGUAGAGAUCGGGAGGAACACCAGUGGCGAAGGCGGCCUGCUGGGCUUUAACUGACGCUGAGGCACGAAAGCAUGGGUAGCAAACAGGAUUAGAUACCCUGGUAGUCCAUGCUGUAAACGAUGAUUACUAGGUGUGGGUGGUCUGACCCCAUCCGUGCCGGAGUUAACACAAUAAGUAAUCCACCUGGGGAGUACGGCCGCAAGGUUGAA